rnacentral:rRNA from 1 species
AACGAACGCUGGCGGCAUGCCUAACACAUGCAAGUCGAACGAGACCUUCGGGUCUAGUGGCGCACGGGUGCGUAACGCGUGGGAACCUGCCCUUAGGUUCGGAAUAACUCCCCGAAAGGGGUGCUAAUACCGGCUAUUGUACUCGGUCCAAAGAUUUAUCGCCUUUGGAUGGGCCCGCGUGGGAUUAGCUAGUUGGUAGGGUAAAAGCCUACAAAGGCGACGAUCCAUAGCUGGGCUGAGAGGAUGAUCAGCCACACUGGGACUGAGACACGGCCCAGACUCCUACGGGAAGCAGCAGUGGGGAAUAUUGGACAAUGGGCGAAAGCCUGAUCCAGCAAGGCCGGGUGAGUGAUGAAGGCCUGAGGGUUGUAAAGCUCUUUUACCCGGGAUUAUAAUGACAGUACCGAGAGAAUAAGCGCCGGCUAACUCCGUG